rnacentral:lncRNA from 1 species
ACUUCCUCGGCAGCAUGAGCCAAAUUCCACAGGCUCUGCAGAUGCCUGUGGCUGGGGGCUGUCACCAUGGAUAGCAGAGGUGUGGAACGCUGCAUCAUCUUAAACCUGGCACUGGCACAAAGGGAAAUACUUGGUGGGAAGGUAACCAGGCCAGGACAGGAGCCAGCCAAGCACUGAAAACAAUCCAAAACUGCUUCAGAUCUGCCCUGGGUUGAACGCAGAAGCUGCUCAUCACAGAUAGACUGCCCCCCGAAAAGGCUCCAAAUGAAAACUGCCAUGAAAAAAGACAUUGGUGACCAAGACUGACUGUAAAGGCAAAGAUCAAAAACCUUUUGCUAGAUACUGUCAUGCUUUUUAAGUAUUACCAUAAUGAGGGGAUGACAAAUCGUUUCUCUUGGGGGCAGGGAGCAGAUUCUGAGUAUCCUAGAUUUACAAGCCACCCAGGGUUUUGGCGGGUGUGGAAACCACCGAACACAAGGCUGAAUACAUGCUGGAGUCCGAUCUUCCUUGACAGACAUAGGGUUGCAUGUGGCCCUUUGGCCAGCAGGUCCAGUUUGAUCUGCAUUGAUCCUGCUGAGGGUUGACAUUCACUGCCAUCCUAAAUGGACAAGGAAUCGCGUGUGUGAGCAAGGCAGCUCUUCCUCAUCUCCCCCACAUCAUAGCAUCCUGCAGUCUCCAAGGCAACGGUGGAUAUUAAUAAUGACUUCUCUCAGGCCAUUCUUCUUGUCAAGUACUGUAACUAGCAAUGUAGGAUCUGAAUUGCCUUCAUCCAGCUACCUGGCAUACUCUCCUUGUGAUUUAUGGAUGAGACUCUUGGAGAAUUGUCUUCCAAAACCAGAUUACACCAUCAAAGCAGUCAGCAUCUUUACAUGCAGAAGGACUAAAGGAGCUGUCUGUACUUCCAUGGAAGACAAUUAUAUUUGAAUUCCAUUGCAGCUGCCACAGUCUGGAACCCUCCAGAACAUUUCUCUGUGGGAAGACAAGGAGGCUGACCUGAGGAUGUCAUUUCAGUCUCCUGUCAGCUUCCAAGGAACACUGCCAGAAACAAAAUAACUUAAGAAGACAGAGGGAAUCGAGUAAUUUGCAUCUCUGCCUCUUAUUUUUUCUUUCUCAUCUCAGUGGCUUUCCACACUUGGGAGGGGGUCACUCUGGUGACCCUGAUUUGCAAUUUCCAAGUCACUGCCAUUUUCACUAAUGUGAGGUGCCUUCAUCACCAAUGGACAAGCCAGGAAACAGGCUCACGAAGAUGUUACUAAAGGACAGAUCUCUGAUGCAUGAAUCAGCUACACAUAAAAAUUAUAACUUUUAACCACUUUGGAGUGAUCAGCACACCCCAAAGACUGUUUGUGCCAUAGGACUUAGUUAGGGUUUUAUUGCUGUGAAGAGGCACUGUGACCAUGGCCUCUUAUAAAGGACAUUUGAUUGGGAUUGGCUUAUAGUUGAGAGGGUUAUCCAUUAUCCUCAUGAUGGGAAGUAUGAUGGCAUGCUGGCAGACAUGGUGCUGAAAAGGGAGCUAAGAGUUCUACUGGGCAGGGCUUCAAAGCCUGUCACCAGUGACCAUUUUCUCCAAUAAACUCACACCAACUUCAACAAGGCCACACCUCCUAACAGUGCCACUCCUCAGGACCUAUGGGGGUCAUUUUCUUUCAAACUACCAUACCAUGUGUGGAAUGUUCUUUCAGUUGUUCAGUAUCUCAGUUUUCCCCAUCUUACUUUUCCACAUCCCAAAUUCUCAUGGUGGCCAACAAUUAUCGAGCAUUUUUUUUAUUUAUUCCUUCACUUAUUUUAGACAAGGACCUCAUACACUCAAGGCUGCCCUUGAACUAGCUGUAUACCCAAGGGUCCUGGGGAUAGAGAGAUGGCUCUGAAGUUAAGAGCAAUUUUGCUCUUGCAGAAGACCAGCAUUUGGUUCCCAGCAUCCAUACAGCCCCUCACAACUUCCAGAGAAUCUGAUACCUUCAUCGGUUCAGGGUUCUUUGGCCUCCAUCGUGCAUGUGCUGAGUAUAUACUCCUACAUGCUCAUACAUACAUGUAAAAACUAACUAACAACUAGCUAGCUAGUUAACCGACCAACUAACUUGCUGACCCUCUUGCUUUCAUCCCUUAAAUGCUAGGAUUAUAAGCAAGUACCACCAUGCCUGUUUUUACAGAGCUGGGGAUCGAACCUGGGCCUUUGCACAGGAUAGGUAAGCAUUCUAGCACUGAGCUGUGUACCCACUCCCUGUACCUGAUCACGUGCAGGUUUGGGAACAGAUGCUUUCACUUGUCUACCCUCAGAAUCAUCAGCUGAAACUGUUAUCAUCCCCUCCCCUCGACACGGGAGGAGACUUAGUCCUGGGGAGUGUUCCAGAACAACAAGGUUAUACAGCUUGCUAGAAGAAGAGACAGGCUUUGAACCCAGAGUCAGACUCUCAUGCCCACACUGUACAGUCAUGGGUGUCCUCCUUGCUCUGUGGUGUCCUCCCUCAUUCCACUCUCAGCCUUCUCUCUUUCCUCUGUCUCCAGUGUCCUCAGGGUCUCAGGACUUGUAGCUCCACUGUACUUAUGCAUGCGCGUCUCCACUUGAACACUUUUGAAGACCAGAUCCACAUGUUAUUAUUAUUUUAAGACAGCUCAUGUCUAGCUUGGUGCUCACUAGUGAGAAAACAGCAGAGAUAGAUAGAGGAUAUAGCUCAGCUCUUAGAGCACUUGCUUAGCAUGCACAGAGAUAAAGGAUAUGGCUCAGCCAGUAGAGUGCUUGCUUAGCAUGCACAGAGGUAGAGGAUAUGGCUCAGCUGGUAGAGCACUUGUCUAGCAUACUCAGGGAUAGAGGAUAUGGCUCAGCUGGUAGAGCGCUUGCCUAGCAUUUGAAGAGGCCUUGGUUUGAUUCCCAGUACUGCUAAAACCCAAUGUGGCAGCAGAUACAUGCAAUGCCAGCGAUUAGGAGGCAGCAGGACGAGGAGUUUGAACAAACCCAUGCUGGUUACACAGCUAAUUUACAUACGGGCCUUGGAUGCAUGAGACCCAGCUUCAGAAUAAAAUAAAUAAACUCAUAAAUAAACAAGCAAACAAAUGAAAAAAGAAGGAAAGAAACCACAAUAACUCUCUGAUUCGAGAAGACAAUUAUGGCCUCAGCAAGAAAAGACAUGUCUCCAGAGCAGUGCCUGUGAGGACCCAGCUUCCUUUCUAGACACAUUUUUCUCACAUAUAGGAAGGACAACACAAGUCUGCCUGAACGACCUCUCCCAUUGUCUUAAGGGUUUAGUUUUGUUUUCCCACAUAGUCAAAUCUCCAGGGAAGCAAACACGGGCUAAUGUUCCUGUUUGUUGCAACACUUCUGUGUCACUAGGAAGUACAGAUUUAGGGAAACGAGGACCCCAAAAUGUGCAGGACAGAUAUAAUAACAUAUUUCCAUGGGACUGAAACAUUUUAAGUAUCCCGUGCUAAACACCGAUGACAGAUUUAUAGGUUUAAACCAGAAGCCUGCUCCAGUCCUCUAGAGAAUGCAGAAAUCUGGCCUACUAACUUCCAUCGUUUCCUGUGGGAAAAGCACUGCCCCGUCUAAAGGGAAGCUUCAGAAAGUACGUCGUUGGUGAUGUUGGACUCGGGUACCUCAUUAGAACGAGGAAGACAUCCCUCAUUUGCAUAUGGCCAGGUGCUGAAAACUCCUACCUGGGCACAGGAGAUCGUUCAGCCCCUAAAGCAGUUGUUGCUCAGCCCGAUGGCUGAAGGUUGACGCACGCACGCACGCACGCACACUUAAAACUGAAAGAAAAUAUUAAAAAAGAGAAGAAACUCUAGCACUCCCAAAGAGCUUCAGGUACUAAAAAGGUGUUUUGAGUGUUAAAGGCAACAGAAAAUGGAGCAGAAAAGAAGUUGCUAAGUGCAGGUGUGCCCACAGGGGUUGGUCCCCAAAUCAACAGCACCAGCCAGGCAUCCUUGGUUCCGUAAACAUGGUGGGUCUCACUGUCAUGACCCAGGACUUUUUCCCGUUUGGGGAUAUUUGCAUAUUUUAGAUCCAGGGAUGGGAAGGUACUUUGUUUUCAGACUUAAAAUGCAAUUUUUAUUG